CUUAGGUCGAAUGUGAUUUCGUUUGCAAACAUCCCUCAGCGGAAACGGAACAGUUGGAUGUGUUUCACCUACGCAAUGACAAGGUUAAAGAGCAAUUCACUGACCAGAUAUGGCUGACUGUUAAAAAAAAUGAUCUCCUCAGGAAGAGCAACACACCAACACAUCACCGUGCCCGGUAGUCUUUUCACUCCACUGCUUCCAUAUGCUGCAUUCUUCACACAUGAGAGCCACGGGGCCUGAGACAGGACAGGAGCCGCUCUCAAUGGAUGUAUACCCCCUCUAUCUCCAGGGCUUCCCGCGGAUACAUUGUGUGACUUCAUCCACACAGAGUACUGAACCUUUCUUCUACAAAUGGUUUGUAAUCUGUCUCUAGAAUGACACACACCUGGAAAAGAGCUGUGGAUGACAAAUGUUGUGCGAGAAGAGUGGUUUUACGUGUGGUUUUAUUUGUGAUAGAUUCUGCUGGGCCGCAUGAGCAAUUCAAGACGAUAUAAUAUAACACUAUGAUAUAACACAGUACAUCGUGUGUAAAAGGUGCCAUUAAAACAAGAAACUAACUAUGCACAGAAAUAUAUUUCCAAAACCAAGUAGUCAUGUCUCUGUCAGUUAUAGCAAUGUAUGAACAAAUCAUUAUGUAGAACAAGUGGAAACUAUUAGACUUCAAAAAAUUAUUCGUCACCAGACAUUUUUAGCUGUAUCCCUUAUUUAAUUACCUUUAAAGUACUGCCCCUGGAAAUAGGGAUAGUGGGAUAGUUCACCCAAAAAUGAAAACUCUGUAUUAAAUUUUACUCACCCUCAAGUGACAUAAAAAGAUAAAACAUAAAAGUAAACAAAUACUAUGGAAGUCAUUAGAGACCAUCAACUAUUAAUAUUACUAUAAUAAUUUGGUUAAUUGGUAUAAUUUGGUUCACCAUAAUUAUACAUCAACUAGAUCAGAGCAGGAUUUCUGCU